UGUGGUUCCCGGUUCUGUCUGUCUUCCU
rnacentral:piRNA from 1 species